GCCCCAUUGGCCGCCCCAAGCACCACAUCACAGCCGUCAAUAGUUUUGACGGCUGUGGAAACAUGCGGAACCUUUCUUGCACCGCUAGUACACGGUCGGACACUUUUGCCGCGCGCGCACACAUCCUGUCUUUGAAUUUAAGGGCGCAAGGACAUGGACCUGUGAAGAAAAGCAAGCACACACAUGGAUGCCUGCUGCAGACCUGACCAGACCUGACCCUCCGACUGGGAAGUCUAGGGAAACAAUCCCAAAACAGUAAGAUGUUUCUGAAAGAUUGGAAUCAGAGAGCAGGAGAGAAGAGUCCUCCCUGAGGAGUGGCCCCAGUGGAUCCCCAGAUGUUUAUGGACAGAAUAGAAGAACCAUUGUCACUGCUUACACAUAAGUCAUCGGGGUUUCAUUGUCGUGUAACAAUAGUACUGCACUGUCUGUUAUACUUAUUGUUAGAAUUUCACCAUAAAUCUAUAUUGUGAUCAGACCUUGAUUAAAAAAGAACAUUACACUUC